AGUAUCCAAUACCCUGGUAGUAGUAUCACAAACAGAGAAACUAUAAGGUAUUAUCAUAUAAGUACCUUGUGAAGCAACUGUUUACUUUUUUCUCUUAUUUUUAUGCCUGUUUGGGUCAAGAGUGGCUAUAUAAGCAGGAUAAUUUUUUUUUCAAUAACCCAGCUUCUUGCAGAAGAAGCACUCUGUCUAGCUCUUGUCAACUUUUGAUGGUUUACUCUGCUUAAGAUCGAUGGCACAGGAUUUUUGAAUCUUUUUAUUCUUUCCUCUUUUAGAGGAUCGAUGCCCUGC
rnacentral:lncRNA from 1 species